AUUACUUUGGCUACAACCACAUCGUAGCAAGCGAGUAGCUAACAGAUCAUAUUUUCCACCUGCAAACCAGAUCCUGAACAUGAAUUUCUUCAAAGUAAUUUUCAUGGUAGCUGCCGCUGUUGCCGCUUUGAGCGGUUAUUAUGUAGAAGCUGUACUGAGUCCCAAUGCCAAUCCCAGCAACGUCAAGUAUUUGGGAGCUACAAGCAGAUACGAUUAAUAAAAAAAGAUAUGCUUCUCUUGUAGAUUUUUAAAUCGAAACAUUAAGGAAAUAAAAUUCAUCACAAAAAAUA